rnacentral:rRNA from 1 species
CUUAAAGAAUUUGGCGGUAUUNNNNNNCNNUUUANAGGAAUCUGUUAUGUAAUCGAUAAUCCANGNNNGAACCUUACUUAUAUUAUUUUUUUGUAUACCUCUGUUUAAGAAUAUACUUUUAGGUGAAUUUUCUGAAUAUAAUAUUAUUUAAAAUUUCAAGUCAAGGUGCAGUAAUAUGUAAGUUGAAUAAUGGAUUACAAUAAAUUUUAUUUAAAUGGAUUAUUAUUGAAAUAUAAUUGUGAAGGUGGAUUUAAUUGUAAUUUUAUAAAGAUUAUUAGAAUGAUUUAUAGCUCUAUAAUAUGUACACAUCGCCC